rnacentral:rRNA from 1 species
GGACUACAGGGGUUUCUAAUCCUGUUUGAUCCCCACGCUUUCGUGCCUCAGCGUCAAUGUCGGUCCAGAUAGCCGCUUACGCCACUGGUGUUCCUGUCAAUAUCUACGCAUUUCACUGCUACACUGACAAUUCCGCUAUCCUCUCCCGAAUUCAAGUCCAGCAGUUUCAAAAGCGCUUCCAGGGUUGAGCCCUGGGCUUUCACUUCUGACUUGCUGAACAGCCUACGCACGCUUUACGCCCAGUGAUUCCGAAUAACGCUCGCCCCCUUCGUAUUACCGCGGCUGCUGGCAC